rnacentral:rRNA from 1 species
UACGGGGGGAGCAAGCGUUGUUCGGAUUUACUGGGCGUAAAGGGCGCGUAGGCGGCGCAACAAGUCACUUGUGAAAUCUCCGGGCUUAACCCGGAGCGGUCAAGUGAUACUGUCGUGCUAGAGUGCGGAAGGGGCUACUGGAAUUCUCGGUGUAGCGGUGAAAUGCGUAGAUAUCGAGAGGAACACCUGCGGCGAAAGCGGCGCACUGGACCACAUCUGACGCUGAGGCGCGAAAGCGUGGGGAGCGAACAGG